CUAGGGAGGGUGGAGGAGGUGGGUUUGACUCAUGGGAGAGGGGGGGUGUAGAAUAGUUUUGCUAUAUAUAUGUAUAUAUAUAGUGAAUCUAUUCUACACCCCUCCCUCCCAUGGGUCAAACCCACCUUUCCCACCCUCCCNNNN
rnacentral:pre_miRNA from 1 species